rnacentral:tRNA from 1 species
GGUGGGUUGGCUCAGUGGUUAGAGCUUAGGUCUCCUAACCGAAGAGUCACGGGAUCGAAUCCCGCUAGAAGCUG